GUCGAACGCGAAAGCCUCCUUCGGGGGGCAAGUAGAGUGGCGCACGGGUGAGUAACACGUAGGUAAUCUACCUUUGGAUUGGGAAUAACAACCGGAAACGGUUGCUAAUACCGAAUAAUGCAGCGGCACCUAAUGGUGACAGUUGUUAAAGCGGGGGAUCGCAAGACCUCGCGUCUGAAGAGGAGCCUGCGGCAGAUUAGCUAGUUGGUAAGGUAACGGCUUACCAAGGCGAUGAUCUGUAGCCGGCCUGAGAGGGCGGUCGGCCACACUGACACUGACAUACGGGUCAGACUCCUACGGGAGGCAGCAGUCGGGAAUUUUGGGCAAUGGGCGAAAGCCUGACCCAGCAACGCCGCGUGAAGGAUGAAAUCCUUCGGGAUGUAAACUUCGCAAGAACGGGAAGAAUAAGUAAGAGUUAAUAUCUCUUACGAUGACGGUACUGUUUGUAAGCUCCGGCUAACUCCGUGCCAGCAGCCGCGGUAAUACGGGGGGAGCAAGCGUUGUUCGGAUUUACUGGGCGUAAAGGGCGCGUAGGCGGCCACCGCAAGUCGACUGUGAAAUCUCCGGGCUUAACCCGGAAAGGUCAGCCGAUACUGCGGGGCUAGAGUGCAGAAGGGGCAACUGGAAUUCUCGGUGUAGCGGUGAAAUGCGUAGAUAUCGAGAGGAACACCUGCGGCGAA
rnacentral:rRNA from 1 species